AUGUCCACAAGAAUUAGGACCUGCAGCAGGUGGCCCGGAAGAGAACAGCCGGGUGCAUCCUGCGCCAUCUUCAAUGCUGUGAUAUUCAUUUGUGAGAUGGGUCUUUCCAGAGACUCUCCCGGGCCUUCUUCAAGAAGCGUUCUUCUGCAGGGCAAUUCAGAUGGCGUGCUGAGGAUGAUGGGAAGUGUCAAGACACGCUUUGCCUCCCUCAGCGACAGAUGUCGUGCUGCAGACCCUGCGUCCCGUCCCCCUGCGGUGCCUCUGGCCCAACCCCACUGGCAAGCAGCUGCAGUGAGCCAUGUGUCGCCCGCUGCGCUGACUCGACUGGCCAUCCAGGCCUCCCCCGUGGUGGUGACCCUGCCGGGCCCCAUCCUCACCUCCUUCCCUCAGAGCACAGCUGUGGGAUCCUCUCUGUCAGCUGCUGUUGGCAGCUCCCUCAGCUCCGCGGGCGUUCCCAUCUCUUCUGGGGGCUCCCUUGGUCUGGGGGGCUCCGGGCUGUGUCUGCCUCGCCCACCCAGCACUUUCAUCUGCUGAAGCCGAUGGAUCAUCCCAUUUGGAGAACGCAUCCCAGAUAUGGAUGGAUCGUUCUCUCAACCUCCCAGAAAACUGAAAUCAAAUUUCUUCCUCUCUGUACUGAGCCACUUUAUUUUUUCCUUCUCAUUAAAGUCUUUUGCCACAUAGCUUGGGCAUAACUUGUGACUUCGUUUCCUCCUAACGCCGUUGGUCACCUGCUCUGAUAAGAAAAGCAGUGCCCACUGCCCUCAGCUUACCUCUUGUCACUGGAAACAGAGGAGGGAGUACCUGCUCUGUCCCCUGGCAGCGAGUCCAUCCCCAGAAAAGGGAAAGACAACAUGUCCUGCUGUGGCCACUCCAAGUCUCAACCACUCUGUGCUUCUGUGAUGUGUUCUAACAGGAGAGGCAGGAAGAGCAGGGAAUGGUUUGUGUGAAGGACAGAAGGCUCAGGGGGCAUCC
rnacentral:lncRNA from 1 species